GAUGAACGCUGGCGGCGUGCUUAACACAUGCAAGUCGAACGAUGAAGCCCAGCUUGCUGGGUGGAUUAGUGGCGAACGGGUGAGUAACACGUGAGUAACCUGCCCUUGACUCUGGGAUAAGCGCUGGAAACGGCGUCUAAUACCGGAUACGAGCUUCCACCGCAUGGUGAGUUGCUGGAAAGAAUUUCGGUCAAGGAUGGACUCGCGGCCUAUCAGGUAGUUGGUGAGGUAACGGCUCACCAAGCCGACGACGGGUAGCCGGCCUGAGAGGGUGACCGGCCACACUCGGAAUGAGGCGCGGCCCAGAAUUCUCCGGGAAGGGAAAAUGGGGGAUAAUUCACGAUGGGCGACAGCCUGAAGGAGGAACGCCGCGUGGGGGACGAAGGGCUUCGGGUUGGAAAACUCCUUUAGCAGGGAAGAAGCGAAAGUGACGGUACCUGCAGAAAAAGCACCGGCUAACUACGUG
rnacentral:rRNA from 1 species